rnacentral:lncRNA from 1 species
GUUUUUUCUGUAUGUUCCUACUUUGGAACGAAAAAUUGUAUUGAACAAAGAUUGUAGAAAAAAUUUCAUAAGAAAUGCAAAAAAGACUUUGAUGUCAGGGACUCUUUUGGUACUGAAUUUUCUAAACAUGUCAUACAAGCAAAAUUGAUCAGGAAAAAAAAUGUCAUACAAGGGAUCAAAUAUAACAUCUUCACCCAUUUGUGUGGAUUCUCUUGACUGUCGCAGUUUUUGUUGGAAUUGUCUUGUAGUAGUUGUUGUACCUUCUUUAUUAAGCAGAGGAAAAAAAAGAACUGCUUGUCGGUAUAUUGCAGCAUCCACAAAAGUCAUAAUGAGGAAAAAAAUAACAGUAUUAAAUUGCCAGAAAAUAUGUAAAAAAAUGAUCUGAAUGUCCUAAUAAUUUUCCUUGACAUUAGAAUGCUACUCCAUAUAGAAUUGGACACUUUACAUGUUAAUUUAGAGUGAAACAUCCCGUGUUGAUCGUAAUUGUAAAAAAUAAAUUUCACCCGUUAUGAAAAGAAUUUUAUUAUGUAGAAGCAUUUCAAAAAGCAGUUUACUGAAGGUGAUUGAAUAUGGAUGGUAGUGAAAAACGAAUUAUAUUGUAAUGAAAGAACGCACAAAUGUAUGACAUAUUUUUAGGAACGAAGUUAGCCAAAGGUACUAUAGUUGCUUCACAGAUUACUACUUGAUUGAACACUUAAUCUCUGGACUAUCUGCGAAACGUUUUAUUGUCAAUUGUUUGUGCUGAGUUUUUUGUAGUUCGACUGUUUUAACGAUUAGGUUGACACUAAAAUAAUUGCUACAUAUGAAUCUCAAAGCUAGAUAGUAAAUUUUGAACCUUUUUCAUGGGAAUAAAAAAUUGAGCAAAAAGAAAAUAAUAGUUUUUUCUCAUAUUGAGCAAAAGCAUGAAACUAUAAAAAGGAAAAACUUUCGGCAAGGAAUUACUUUAAAAGUGAAGGGAAAAUGUUUCAGACAUUUUGCAGAUCUUCAGUUGUGGUCUCGUUAGUUGUUUAUUUGAAUGAUCGAAACCC